GAAUGCUUGGUUGAAUAGGGAGAGGUAUUAGCAGUAGAAAGAGGGAAGUGCUCAUGCCAUUAUACAGAACACUGGUGAGGCCUCACUUGGAGUAUUGUAUGCAGUACUGGAGACCGCAUCUUCAGAAGGAUAUUGAUACUUUAGAGAGAGUUCAGAGAAGGGCUACUAAACUGGUUCAUGGAUUGCAGGAUAAAACUUACAAGGAAAGGUUAAAG